rnacentral:tRNA from 1 species
GCAUCCUUAACUCAGUUGGAUAGAGUGACAGCCUCCGAAGCUGUAAGCCGCCGGUUCAAGUCCGGUGGGGUGCA